rnacentral:Y_RNA from 1 species
GGCUGGUCUGAGUGCAGCGGUGUUUACAACUAAUUGAUCACAGCCAGUUACAGAUUCCUUUGCUCCUUCUCCACUCCUGCUGCUUCACUUGACUAUCUUUAA